AUUGAACGCUGGCGGCAGGCCUAACACAUGCAAGUCGGACGAGUGGCGGACGGGUGAGUAAUGUCUGGGAACGUGCCUGAUGGUGGGGGAUAACUACUGGAAACGGCAGCUAAUACCGCAUACCAUCCGAGCGGCCCAUGUCGGAUUAGCUGGUUGGAGGGGUAAAGGCUCACCAAGGCGACGAUCCGUAGCUGGUCUGAGAGGAUGACCCGCCACACUGGAACUGAGACACGGCCCAGACUCCUACGGGAGGCAGCAGUGGGGAAUAUUGGACAAUGGGCGCAAGCCUGAUGCAGCCAUGCCGCGUGUAUGAAGAAGGCCUUCGGGUUGUAAAGGACUUUUGGCGGGGAGGCGGUACCUGAAGAAGAAGCACCGGCUAACUCCGUGCCAGCAGCCGCGGUAAUAC
rnacentral:rRNA from 1 species